CGAGUUGCGGGUGCUACCAUGCAAGUCGAACGAUGAAGCCCUUCGGGGUGGAUUAGUGGCGAACGGGUGAGUAACACGUGGGCAAUCUGCCCUUCACUCUGGGACAAGCCCUGGAAACGGGGUCUAAUACCGGAUAACACUCUGUCCCGCAUGGGACGGGGUUAAAAGCUCCGGCGGUGAAGGAUGAGCCCGCGGCCUAUCAGCUUGUUGGUGGGGUAAUGGCCUACCAAGGCGACGACGGGUAGCCGGCCUGAGAGGGCGACCGGCCACACUGGGACUGAGACACGGCCCAGACUCAUACGGGAGGCAGCAGUGGGGAAUAUUGCACAAUGGGCGAAAGCCUGAUGCAGCGACGCCGCGUGAGGGAUGACGGCCUUCGGGUUGUAAACCUCUUUCAGCAGGGAAGAAGCGAAAGUGACGGUACCUGCAGAAGAAGCGCCGGCUAACUACGUGCCAGCAGCCGCGGUAAUACGUAGGGCGCAAGCGUUGUCCGGAAUUAUUGGGCGUAAAGAGCUCGUAGGCGGCUUGUCACGUCGGAUGUGAAAGCCCGGGGCUUAACCCCGGGUCUGCAUUCGAUACGGGCUAGCUAGAGUGUGGUAGGGGAGAUCGGAAUUCCUGGUGUAGCGGUGAAAUGCGCAGAUAUCAGGAGGAACACCGGUGGCGAAGGCGGAUCUCUGGGCCAUUACUGACGCUGAGGAGCGAAAGCGUGGGGAGCGAACAGGAUUAGAUACCCUGGUAGUCCACGCCGUAAACGUUGGGAACUAGGUGUUGGCGACAUUCCACGUCGUCGGUGCCGCAGCUAACGCAUUAAGUUCCCCGCCUGGGGAGUACGGCCGCAAGGCUAAAACUCAAAGGAAUUGACGGGGGCCCGCACAAGCAGCGGAGCAUGUGGCUUAAUUCGACGCAACGCGAAGAACCUUACCAAGGCUUGACAUAUACCGGAAAGCAUCAGAGAUGGUGCCCCCCUUGUGGUCGGUAUACAGGUGGUGCAUGGCUGUCGUCAGCUCGUGUCGUGAGAUGUUGGGUUAAGUCCCGCAACGAGCGCAACCCUUGUUCUGUGUUGCCAGCAUGCCCUUCGGGGUGAUGGGGACUCACAGGAGACUGCCGGGGUCAACUCGGAGGAAGGUGGGGACGACGUCAAGUCAUCAUGCCCCUUAUGUCUUGGGCUGCACACGUGCUACAAUGGCCGGUACAAUGAGCUGCGAUGCCGCGAGGCGGAGCGAAUCUCAAAAAGCCGGUCUCAGUUCGGAUUGGGGUCUGCAACUCGACCCCAUGAAGUCGGAGUUGCUAGUAAUCGCAGAUCAGCAUUGCUGCGGUGAAUACGUUCCCGGGCCUUGUACACACCGCCCGUCACGUCACGAAAGUCGGUAACACCCGAAGCCGGUGGCCCAACCCCUUGUGGGAGGGAGCUGUCGAAGGUGGAAGCGGCGGUCU
rnacentral:rRNA from 1 species